rnacentral:misc_RNA from 1 species
UAGAAACUUUGCAGCACCACUCGUAGAGAGCCAAGCUGGGCCUCUGCCAGAUCAGAUCUCACAUGCAGAUGAUAGCAAGACAGAGGUAACAACCAACAAUCAUGAACAGAACCAAAAACUAGGGGAGAAAAUCAGAGUAAUCCAAAGCCAAAACCCAAGCAACUAGACAGCAACAACAGAACAACACCAAGACCGAUGGAGGAAGGAGGUGGAGGACCUCUUUGGCGUCCCAAUUGCAUCUUCCGAGUUGGCCAUCACUUUUCAACAUUCAACCCUGCGAGAUACCGCCACCUGACUACUCCCUUGUGCCAUUAUCAACCAAGAAAGAGUUCAAUGUUCCGCAACUCUCCGGUAGACUCUAGGAUCGGAGGAAGUCUAGCCUCCGCAUGCAACACCCAAAGCCAAGCAUCCAAAACUGACGUGGUAGAUUGACAGAAACUCUCGGGAAAAAGUACAAAUCUACCACAAAAGCAACUCACCUUAUUUAUCCACAUAACCCUACCCAGAAUGGGGAGAGUAGAACCUACUUCCGAGGUGGGGUAACGGAGAAAAGACGUUCCCCUCCCCCAUAGAGGCAGGGGAAGGUCAGCAAAUCCUACAGAAGCGGCGAGCUAAUUAGUCUCGCAAAAACUAAAUAACCAAAGAGAAAAUUCUCUCUCUAAGUCUAAGAAUCAGAUCGAGUUGGAUUAUUAUUUUAUCUAAUGAUUGGCUUGCACGUUGAGCUCUCAAUCCGAUGCUUUCAUAGAGAAGGAAAUGGUUGUUCUAAAGUUCAAAUAAAUCCAAUCCAUCUCUGCCAUCAAUCUAUCAUAAGAAACUAAUGAAAAUGAACUACAAGAAAUUGAAAGAAAAAAUUAAUUUGACCUUAAAGCUUCAUACACUAAAUUCUCAUAAGCUAUGGGAAUAUAUAUUGGCCACUAAACUGCCAGUAAGAAAACUAAUGUAUUGCCGUACACAUUAAACAUUUCUCUGUAUAAGUUCAACAAUUGAACACAACAUAAUGCCAUCUAUUCAAUAAGAGAUAAGAGUGCUUCCCAUCCCAUACACAAUCUUAUUCUAUACAAAAGCAC